rnacentral:lncRNA from 1 species
GUUUCUUUGCCUUGACAGCUUGCAUUCGGUGUCAUUCUUUUCUAACAAAAACCAAAGCUUAACCAUGGGUUUUGGUUAUAACUGAUUAGUCCUUUGGAUUCUAGAGUUUACUGUAUGCUUGGGAACUCUUAAGCCGGGAAGCAAAGAAUGACACGAUUUUCCUCAAUAUACCAGCUUGCUUCGGCUGAUUUUAUGGAAUGAUGACCAAACACAGCAUGGAAAGAAAUGGUUUAUGUCAGUUUAUUGUGCAUCAUGAGAAGAAACCAAGAGUGCUCAUGCAAGUAAAAGACCACACAUUGCAGCCUGGGAUAAAUACCCCUGAUCCCCGUAAAGGGCAAGAACUGUCCAAGAAUGUUCCCUCUGAACCAUCCAGAAACUAUGAGAAAUGCUAUCUAGGUCAUGCUAAUCAAGUCCUGAACUCUGAGAGUGGAGCCUGGUCUCUUGAAUCGACAAAAAAAUGCUCUCAGUGUUCCAAUACAUGAGCUGCAGAGAUGAAGCAACAGUUAAGGGCACUGGCUACAAUUCCAGAGGACCCAGUUUCCUACCUGGCAGUUCAAAACGGUUUGUAUCUUAAGUCCCAUGGGAUCUUCCACCCUCUUCAAAACUCCAUGAACAGCAUGAACAAAUGUGGUACACAGACACAUAUGCAAAAUGAACAUCCAUACACAUAAGAAUAUUAAAAUAAAUAAAAGUAUUUUAAAAUCUUCA